AGGUUACUGCUAUCGAGGUUCGACUAAGCCAUGCGAGUCGAAUGUAGCAAUACAUGGCGUACUGCUCAGUAACACGUGGACAACCUACCCUUAGGCCUGGGAUAACCCCGGGAAACUGGGAAUAAUACCGGAUAUCUCGCGAAUGCUGGAAUGCGUCGCGAUAGAAAGCUCCGGCGCCUAAGGAUGGGUCUGCGGCCUAUCAGGGUAGUAGUGGGUGUAACGUACCUACUAGCCUACGACGGGUACGGGUUGUGAGAGCAAGAGCCCGGAGAUGGAUUCUGAGACACGAAUCCAGGCCCUACGGGGUGCAGCAGGCGCGAAAACUUUACAAUGCUGGAAACAGCGAUAAGGGGACCUCGAGUGCCAGGAUACAAUCCUGGCUGUCGUAAUGCCUAAAAAGCAUUGCAUAGCAAGGGCCGGGCAAGACCGGUGCCAGCCGCCGCGGUAACACCGGCGGCUCGAGUGGUAACCGCUAUUAUUGGGUCUAAAGGGUCUGUAGCCGGCUGACUAAGUCUCUUGGGAAAUCUGACAGCUUAACUGUCAGGCUUUCAGGAGAUACUGAUCGGCUCGAGACCGGGAGAGGUGAGAGGUACCUCAGGGGUAGGGGUGAAAUCUUGUAAUCCUUGAGGGACCACCAGUGGCGAAGGCGUCUCACCAGAACGGAUCUGACGGCAAGGGACGAAAGCUAGGGGCACGAACCGGAUUAGAUACCCGGGUAGUCCUAGCCGUAAACGAUACUCGCUAGGUGUCGGCCACGGUGUGACCGUGGUCGGUGCCGUAGGGAAGCCGUGAAGCGAGCCACCUGGGAAGUACGGCCGCAAGGCUGAAACUUAA
rnacentral:rRNA from 1 species